rnacentral:misc_RNA from 1 species
GUUUGCAUUUGGGCAUGUGUCAAAAAAUGCAGAUAUGUGAAUACUAGUUAUGCAUCUGUAUUCAUACAGGAGAAACCACUUUGAUGUUUGUUAGAGAUGUAAAAUUAUUCUUGGGGCCCUCAUCUAUAAACUUAAACUUUUAAAAUUGCAUAGUUUCUUGACAUGGUAUUAGGGGUUUCUUUGACCAAAAUCUCCAUAGUUCGAGUCUUAGCCACCUCCAUUUAUUAAUUAAAUAUUUUAGCAUAAGGUAAAGUGGGCCUAUACUUGUUCACAUGCUUCAAGCCCAAUGCGCAUUUGCGUUGGGGGGGGGGGGGGGGGU